rnacentral:rRNA from 1 species
GUGCCAGACUCCUACGGGAGGCAGCAGUGAGGAAUAUUGGUCAAUGGCCGGAAGGCUGAACCAGCCAAGCCGCGUGAAGGACGAAGGUGCCAAGCAUUGUAAACUUCUUUUGUCAAGGGACAAAAUCAGGCUCGAGAGCCUGACCGAGGGUACUUGAAGAAAAAGCAUCGGCUAACUCCGUGCCAGCAGCCGCGGUAAUACGGAGGAUGCGAGCGUUAUCCGGAUUUAUUGGGUUUAAAGGGUGCGUAGGCGGGCUGUUAAGUCAGCGGUAAAAAUGCGGUGCUCAACGCCGUCGAGCCGUUGAAACUGGCGUUCUUGAGUGGGCGAGAAGUAUGCGGAAUGCGUGGUGUAGCGGUGAAAUGCAUAGAUAUCACGCAGAACUCCGAUUGCGAAGGCAGCAUACCGGCGCCCUACUGACGCUGAGGCACGAAAGCGUGGGUAUCGAACAGGAUUAGAUACCCUC